GAGCACCGACAAGUCCGAGUGACAGCCGGGGACGGAACCUGGCUCUGCUUAUUGUACUGUCGGUGUCCGGGGGAGGUUGGCUGUUGCGGUCGCGGUGGCUGGGCCGUGAGGAAGGCUGCCGCGGGGAAGUUGAGAGCCGCCCUCGUGAGCGCGGAGCUGGAAGCCAUGUCGGGAAUGCUCCCUAUCUCACCAUUAGGAAGUGAAGGCUGCUGCGAAGAAACCAUAAAUAUGAUGUAGAAGUUAAUAUUUAACGUCAGAGUAACUUUUAAAAAGCUUUGACUCCAUAUCCAGUUACUGUUUGCGAAUGUAGCUACGCAGAUAAAAGCUGCUUUGAAGUGACUGCAGAUAAAGGCUUUCCUUUUGUCCUGGAAGGCUUCCUGUGUGAGCUGGAUGUCGGGUGUGGAGCUGGGAGGUGGGACAGCCCAACGUCCCCAGGGCCAAACCCGGGGCCUGUAUGCGUGGGGAAAUACAGAGUUACUGCUUUCAGGAUGCUGUUGAGGAGCUUGACAUCAGUGGUCAUUGGAGAAUUCAGUUCUGAGGGUAAAAUGCCAGAGAGUAGAAACGCAUUUGCAGUGUAGGGAUGCAUUAUGAUGAGCAAAGUGAGUUUGAUUGACUGGAAGAGGAUAAGUGCUUCUCUAAAAGGCAAAUUCCCACAGAAAACCUUUCUCCCCGCAAACUUUUGACCUGCGUAGCGUGUGUAGUGACUGGGUACAACAGAACAAGGAAGAAAAAUCGACAGAGGAAAACAGAGAAAAUCAACGAAAACGUUCUUUCUUAUUGAACUCUUAUCCUGGAAAAUGAGUCCCCAGAGGCUGGAGAGGUGGAAGGGGUGCAUCUCUGAAACUUCAUUGGGAGCAAACAGUUACUCUCAUUAGAAAAAGCAGAUGUGAAGUAACUGAACCACAGAUAAAAUCACACGACCUUUGGUCCCUUUAUUGCUGCCAUAGAUUCAGCCACUGAACUGCUCAGGCAACACUGAUCUUUUUAGAUUGCAGGCACACCAGAAACAUGUAAACAUCAAACAUCCUUUAACUCAAAAACUUGAAAACAAAUGCCUUUCUAGACUCAGUCACUUGGAAGCACUGAUGGACCUUUAAUUGCCCUAACCAGCCUCACCUGAGCCCUCCUGGCUCCUGCUUAUGAACCCAGUAGCAGCUGUUGAGCUCGGAUUUAGGUUUUCAGUCUCUGUGUGAGUGAUGCUGGUGCCUUAGGUGAUUGUGGCACUGAAGGGGCUACUUUGCUUUCUUCUUCCUUGCACUCCUGUUGCUUGGGAGUGGCUUAAUUCAGCAGUUGGCUGGCUGUUAGAUCUUCACAGUGCAGUUGGUCCUUUGUGAAUAACUGAGCUGAGGGAAGAGAAUGUAGAGGCUGAUAUCAGUGUUCUGCUGUGCAAGGUGCUAUGAGGCAUGUUCUUCCUGGACUGCUGUAAGGUUGCUGGAGAUAAUUCUGUAACCCAUCCACCAGAUCAGUUUAAAAAGAAAAUGCAUUUACUGUACACUGGGGAAGCUGGAUGAAGAAGAGAUAUGGAAAAAGCCAGAAGACAAUGAAGUCUGGCAGGAGACAGAGCUCCAGCCUCUGCUAACAACAGAUCUGAAGACAGGCAUGAGAGCAGAUAAGAGGCGUUGACAGAGUGCAUGGGCCUGUGGCACGCUGCCCGUCAGGAGUUACUGAAUAAUUUCACCUUCCAGUUUGAAGUGACUGUAGAGGAAACCUGGAAAACACAAG